GCUGACGUGGCCGAGCGGUUAAGGCGUGAGACUGCUAAUUUCAUGGGCGUUGCCCGCGCAAGUUCGAAUCUUGCCGUCAGCG
rnacentral:tRNA from 1 species